CAACCUUUGCCAACACUCUGGCCUUUAUCCCUUUCCGUCAUCGGAAAACCCUCCUAGGAUAAUGUUGCCUAUUUUGAUGCAAAGAAGAUCAAUCCGCAAAGUUGACACUCUACUCACCACGGCAUUUCCAUAUCUCCAUCCAUGGAUGCAGUGGUCCAUCAUCCUUCGUGUCUACAA
rnacentral:snoRNA from 1 species